AAGUAAACUAGGUUUAUAGACGACCAACUGCAGGAAAAUAUAAAAGUACUAAUACACAAGCCUAUAUUAUGCCGAAGAACAACCUUGCAGAACUUUAUUUCUCUCCUCGACUAAGUCAAGAAAAUAAAGAUCGCAAAACCCAAAAAAGGACCCAAGUUUCUACUACUUACUUAUCUAUAUAGUAGCUUUUAGCAGACACUAAUAGAAAAACUAUAACUGUAUUGCUCGUUAUUUCACCUAACCUUAAAACUAUUUUG
rnacentral:misc_RNA from 1 species